rnacentral:rRNA from 1 species
CCUACGGGGGACAGCAGUGAGGAAUAUUGGUCAAUGGACGCAAGUCUGAACCAGCCAUGCCGCGUGCAGGAAGACGGCACAGUGAGUUGUAAACCGCUUUUGUCCGAGAGCAAACACUGAUACGUGUAUCUGUCUGAGAGUAUCGUACGAAUAAGCAUCGGCUAACUCCGUGCCAGCAGCCGCGGUAAUACGGAGGAUUCAAGCGUUAUCCGGAUUUAUUGGGUUUAAAGGGUGCGUAGGCGGUCGGAUAAGUUAGAGGUGAAAUCCCGGGGCUCAACUUCGGACUUGCCUCUGAUACUGUCCGGCUAGAGAGGAGUUGCGGUAGGCGGAAUGUAUGGUGUAGCGGUGAAAUGCUUAGAGAUCAUACAGAACACCGAUUGCGAAGGCAGCUUACCAAGCUACCUCUGACGUUGAGGCACGAAAGCGUGGGGAGCAAACAGGAUUAGAUACCCCAGUAGUC